UCCAAUCAUCAACCAGACUUGAGAUGGUUACUAUGAGCUAGUUUAAGCUUUUUCAAUGUUUUUUGUCCUUUGAACAUUUCAAGUUCGUCUUUUCAUUUCUCAUUUCAUUCAAUUUUGUCUCAUUUAACUCGUUUUCAAAAAGUACAAAAAAAAGUCUCAAAAAAAUGAAACUCGCCAUUUGUUAUCAUCAGCAUCCAGCAUUGGUUACCAAGGAUACCGCUGAACCGGCAAAAGGUAUUGAACAAACGUUCAACAAAAGGAAACGAAAUGUUAUCUGAAAACUAACUGGACUUGUGUCUCAUGGUGAAAAGAAGAAGAAGAAAAAAAUGUUUCAAAAUUUCAUUCCAAUAACACAAACAAUUUUCUCAUUGGAAUCAAAUGGAUGGAAAAUGCAAGAUAAAAGGUUUGAUCAUGAUGACUGCCUUUGCUCGAGGUUCCUGGAAACAUGAACAGAAUGCUGAUUGGAUGAAGAUUGGAUCAACUGAUGAUGCUGCGCAAAAAUAAGGCAACACACAGAAAAAUGGUUAUCUAUUUUGGUGAGAAGGAAAACAAUUCCGUUGGAAUUGAAUCACUUUUCCGGAAGCAAACACAAGUAAAAAAUGAAGCCCUAUAAACGAAUUUUCAUUACACAUUUUGGCCCAAGUUUAACCUAAAAGUACCGAAUAAUGAGGUAAAAAGGGAAAACUCAGACUACUCAGAACUACUCAUCAAGACCGCCUUCUUCAUCUUCACUUCAAUGAUCAAAUGGACAGAAAAAGGAAAAUAAAAAGAUGAGGCAAAAACAAUCAUUCCAUGUUCAAUAUUUGCUCAGCUAAAAUGGAAUAAGGUAAAGAUGAAAAUCUGUUGCAAGCACUCAUUUUGCUUCUCCAACUUUUCAAUGUGAUCAAAUGGAUUUGUGAAGAGCCAACUCGUGGUUAAAGGUAAUUACGAUGAGAAAUGAGCAACUCUGAUAACAGAUAAAAGCAACUCCAAGAAGAGGCAAAGAACUAAAUAACUCAAGAUAAACUCCAAGUUGAACUGAAUAAGCAUUUAAAUUAUUUUACUCUAGAGUCUAUUUUAACCUCUUGUCUUUUUUUACAUCGUUCAUCCUUUACAAGCCAAUAAAACUGUGAACCAAGAUGAAGACCAUUAUUGGCAAUCUAAGUGAUUGGUAAAGUUUACCGCAAAUGAUUAAAAAUGUAUUGAUAUCCAUAAUGUAUUUAGGUUUGUGGCUGUUGAGGUCAAUUGAUUGCCAAAAGCCUCAUCAUUCUUGACCCAACCAGCAACUCGCCAACAGCGACCCUUGGACAAAGAGGAACCCAGAAAGUAAAAAGAAACGAAAAGUUACAUUAAUUUACUUUGGUAGCAAAAAAAAGUGCAUUAUAAAUUAUUCACUUCUCUGCGCUUUUCAAAUACUUGUAAUUCAAUUAGAUGCACCAGAAAUGAUGAUGAAUAAAAUGAUGUACAGAUCGAAUCCACGUAGUAAAUGAAUAAAAAAAACUUAAAGUUAAU